rnacentral:rRNA from 1 species
AUGACAUACAAAGUGAUGGAGGAGAGGUGUUCAGAGAAAGAGUUAUACAUGUGCCAGGUUCUGAAGUAUGAGGAUCCGGUGCGACAAGAAGCAGCUGUGAAUAUGGUUCCUGUAGAUGAACUUAAGGAGAAGGCGCUUAUUUCACUGGCCAAGGAAACAUGUGAAAAAGGUGGGAUCUUUCCGUCGGCUUCGCAGCUGGCUAUAUGCAUCAUAGAGCAUCUAAUCUGCAUCAACUUUAGACAUGGUGUGGAGCGUCGACCACGGCGAGCUUGGCUAAUGUCAACACGUGAAGCUGGGUCAAGUACAGAAGACGAAACACAAGAUUCAAGAUCACUCUCUUUUGCCAUUUUAGUCAUAUUUUUGCUGAGAUAA